AGCCACAUGAUGGAAGUGUGGAUGACCCCCGAAGACUGCAGCAGGAUCCUGAGGCUGUGUUGGAGGCAGACACACAGAGAGCAAUCUGUAAAGAUGCGCCUGCGAUGGGGCCAGAUGUGUCUGCUGGGUCCUGGGUCACCAGAAAGCUCCUACAUCCAGAAUAUUGAAUCCUCAUGGACUCAGGAAAACAAAGGAUCUUCUGCAACGUCAAUGUAUUGCUUUCCCAAGAAGAUGUCAUAACAUAGACUAUUGGGUUUCAGGCCAUGUUUUCUCAGCCAAGGAGCUGGGCUACAAGAACUCUAAUGACCAGGAGUACGCUUGUUAGUGGAAGACGUCAGAAACUC